UCAGGCGGACCAGAGUAGACCAGAAAAUUGGAGCUGUUCCGUAAUUUUACGGAGAACGACAGAGAGCCGGUCCGUUGACGGUCACGUUUGGAGUAGUCAUGGAGAAUGUGGAACCAUUCUCAUUAAUUAACAUAACAACAGAGUUGGUCCAUCGGACGUAUGUGAGCGGACCUGUGCAGAGCGGAGCAGUAACGAAGGAUGUGGAAUUUAGGGGUUACGAGAAUUACUCAAGAGUUUUUCAAUAAAUAGGAUUGUGACUUUAUAACACCUGACAGUGUCAUUUAUUUAAAAAAAUCGAUAUCAGCCAAAAUUUGGAACGGUAGGUCAGGCUUUUAAAAGAUCGGUGAUUGGCCAGACAGCUGCAAUCGGUGCAGUUUAAGGACAACAAGGAGUGACCAUAACAAACCCCCGAUCUUAAUCCUAUAGAAAAAUUGUGGGCAGAGCUAAAAAGGUGUAUGGGAGCAGGGCAGUGUACAAACCUGACUCUGCAUACCCAAAACAUUUGACCAAUAAUCGUACCAAAAAAUUUUAUUCUUCUAAAUCAUACUGUCAUGCUCUGCCCUUUUGGAGUGUAGCUUUUGUUUACCUUGUUCGUUUAUAGGUGUUUUUGUUGUUUACUUCUGUUGGUUUUUACCUUCUAGCUUCUUGUGUUCAUUUUAGUUCAUUUAUUUAUCUGUGUUCCUGGGUUUUGUCAUUUUGUAUUAUUUCUUAAGUUUCUGUCCUCAUGUUUGUUUUUCUCCCUCAGCAGCCCAGUCACGUUAGUGUUAUCAGUCACCUUCCCUCAGUUCCCCUGCAACCCGGUUCCACACCUGUUUCAUGUUCCAUCUGAUUACCUGUCACCCAUUUUCAUUGGUUCACACUCCUCUUCCCUCAGUACAUAUGUUUGGUUAUUUUCAUUGUUCCUCGCUCGGUCCUCCUGUUUACUUCUAUGCUGAUCCCUGUUCCAUGUCAUUGUUUUGAUCCCAUGGAAACUCGUUGCACAGGGAAAGGUCCAUAAAGAGACAGAUGAUCAAGGCUGGUGUGGGAGAACUUCACUAGGCUGCACAGAGUCCAGACCUCAACCCCAUACAACACCUUUGGGACAAAUAAGAACGCAAGCUGCAAGCUGAGCUUUCAUCAGUGUCUGACCUCACAAACGUUGUUCUGGAAGAAUGUUCGAACAUCCCCAUAAACACUCUUAAACCUUGUGGAAAGACUUCCCAGCAGAGUUGAAGCUAUUAUAGCUAUAAAGGUGGGCCUGGAUCAUAUUAGACCCUAUGGAUUAAGAUGUCAUUAAUGAUCAUACUGGAUGUGUGUGAAAUCAGAGGAGGAUCAAGGAGUAUUCCUUGAUGGAAGGAUGGUUAAACUGCAUUGCUGUGUAGAAAGUUCUCAACCAAGAGUAUUUUUAAGAGUUCCUGUCUAUAAAACGUCAUCAGUUUAAGGCAAGUGGAUUUUCUAUGUUUUAUCCAUGCUAGUUUCCAUUUCAACUAUCUCUGUGUCUGUGAUCUUGUUUCCUGUGCUGAUACUCGAUCCUUUAUUCAAUGAAGGCUCUGGAAUGUGUAUUUAUUUCACCACAAAAGGAACUGUAUAAAAAAUACUUAAUCUGACGUAUUUGUUUUAAAGCUAUAAUGUCACAGGUUAAUGUUCCUUUUUUCUGAUUUUCAGCACCUUGCUUCCACUUCAUCAAUAAUAAAUGACCUUCAACUAAA